GCUCACCAGUCCAUCUCACAGAGAACUACCCACUGGGCCUCUUACCGCCGUCUCGACGGCGUCCGGCUGUUCUCCGGCGAAGAAUGCACUCGCCCCGCCGGCGCCACUGCUAUCCACGACCUUCGGGAGUCCACCCUCUGCUCUCGUGGUCGUGCUCCGAACGGAGCUUGUCGUGCCGGUGGCCCGGUGUCUCUCUUCCCCUCGCUGCUGCGUCCCCGGUGGUAAGAGCUUGAGCUGUUCAUGACAGUGGUGGUGAGGGAUUGGGGGUUAUGAAUUGGGCUACUGUGCUGUCACAGGCGAGAGCGAUUAGCUCGAUGUUACAUCAAUUGAUUUCAUAAGACAGAGGUCGAUUUAUUGCCCACUGCAGAUAGCUUGUUGGAUGAUGCAAGUAUGCUUGUGUUUGACUAGCUGAACAGCUUAGCCACAGAUCAGACAGCAGCGAGGUAGGACCUACAAGAAAGAAGUAAGGUGAAGCUACACGCUGGUGACUGAUGUGUCUGACAAGUCCUUGAAGCUGUGCUCUCAUCAGCUUCUUUCCUCUUUGCCUUGAGGGACUCAAGGAGAUCCUGGAGUACAACAUCACUGUUCCCGUUCCUCCUUAGAACCUCAGCGAUCUCUGCAGCCAGAAUUCGGAAUGACUCUGGGGUGCCAGGCCGUUGUAGACUUGUAGUGCUGGGUCGAGCCGCUCCCUGUAAUUUGUGGUGAAGACGAUUAUCCUCUCCUCCCUGUUUGUCGACCACAGGCCAUCAAUGAAGUUGAGCAGGCCAGAUAGUGUCACAUGUUCAACAAAAUUCGUAUCAUCAUUGAACUGGACUUGGCACGCCUCUCGCCCUCAUCCCGUUGUUCUAGCUCAAUGCUGCAGUUCAUGUCUUCAACCACAAGGAUGGAUCGGUUGCUCAUCCCGACAAGAAGCCUCCUGAGGUCUGAGUUGCAUUUGACCUCGGUUAGCUCAAGAUCAUAUAUGUCAAACUUGAAGUAGUUUGCCAUUGCGGCGAUCAGACUUGACUUGCCAGUCCCAGGUGGACUGUAGAGCAGGAGAUCGACAAGAUCAUGGAGCGCAACAUUGGUGUCAUCAUUCCUCAUCAGAACCUCGGCAACCUCUGCGGGUGUCACCGUGACCUCUUUGAUCAGCUUCUCAAUCUCUGGAUAUGUGACAUGGUAGUCGAUAGAAUGAUAAUUGUUGGCAAGGAUCCGGAAAGACUCUGGGGUGCAGUACCCCAUGUUGAUGUGCAUGUCCAUCCUUCCAGGCCGCAGUAGUGCUGGGUCGAGCCGCUCCUUGUAAUUGGUCGUGAAGACGAUAAUCCUUUCCUCCCCACUUGUUGACCAGAGCCCAUCAACGAAGUUGAGCAGUCCGGACAGUGUUAUCUGUACAGAACAUCCAAAUUAUAAUCAGCACGGUUGAGGAAGUUGUGAAAUCAAGAAGAGAAGAGUUCGAUGGUGCAGUCAAUAUCUUCAACCACAAGAAUGGAUCGGUUGCUCUGGCCAACAAGAAGUCUCCUGAGGUCUGAGUUGGAGCGGACCUCAGCUAGCUCGAGAUCAUAUAUGUCAAACCUGAGAUGGUUGGCCAUUGCCGCGAUCAGGCUGGACUUGCCGGUCCCAGGUGGACCAUACAGCAGCUUCUGGUCCAUGGCAAGCGUGUCAAAUGUAGAUGGGUGGUGGAGGUCAAUUGGAGACCACUCUGAGUAUUCGGUCAUGAAUAUCCUGAGAGUUCUUUCCUGAUCUUUUAUGGCCUUUGCUGUGGCCAGAAUGAAUGGGAGGUAUGACUGGAGGGCUUUCUCCUUGUGCUUCUUGUGGAAGCUCACCUCAAAGGAGCGGACCUCGUGCUGACUGCCAUUGUUGUUGGAGUCACUUGAGUUGUCAUGGCAGAUGAGGCACCAUUUGAAUUCCAUGCCAUCAUACACAUCAGUCAUCUCCUCGCCCUCCGCCAUACUGACCAUCAUCUUGUCAUUUUCGUCCAUGCUGCUGACACGCAGGCGCUGCUGCGUGUUGGUAUUGAUGCGUGUCGCAAGGUAGCCGAAGCCGGAGAAGAGCAUGGCGCGCACCUCAUAUGGCACCAGCUCGUUCACCACGCUGCGCACCAGCAUCAGAGACGCUGCGACGGAUGCUGCUGUGGUGAUGGCCUUCUUGUAGGACUCCAUGGCCUUGUCGUUGG